rnacentral:rRNA from 1 species
UAGGGAAUCUUCCGCAAUGGGCGAAAGCCUGACGGAGCAAUGCCGCGUGAGUGAAGAAGGCCUUCGGGUCGUAAAACUCUGUUAUAAGAGAAGAACAAAUUGUAGAGUAACUGCUACAGUCUUGACGGUAUGUUAUCAGAAAGCCACGGCUAACUACGUGCCAGCAGCCGCGGUAAUACGUAGGUGGCAAGCGUUGUCCGGAUUUAUUGGGCGUAAAGGGAGCGCAGGUGGUUUCUUAAGUCUGAUGUGAAAGCCCACGGCUUAACCGUGGAGGGUCAUUGGAAACUGGGAAACUUGAGUACAGAAGAGGAAUGUGGAACUCCAUGUGUAGCGGUGGAAUGCGUAGAUAUAUGGAAGAACACCAGUGGCGAAGGCGACAUUCUGGUCUGUUACUGACACUGAGGCUCGAAAGCGUGGGGAGCAAACAGG